UACGCAGGGUGCAAACGUUGUUCGGAAUCACUGGGCAUAAAGAGCGCGUAGGCGGUCUGAUAAGUCCUGUGUGAAAGCCCCCGGCUCAACCGGGGAAUUGCACAGGAUACUGUCGGGCUAGAGUACAGGAGGGGAGAGCGGAAUUCCUGGUGUAGCGGUGAAAUGCGUAGAUAUCAGGAGGAACACCUGCGGUGUAGACGGCUCUCUGGACCACUACUGACGCUGAAACACGAAAGCGUGGGUAGCAAACAGG
rnacentral:rRNA from 1 species